GCAAGUCGUAACGAUGAAGCCAGCUUGCUGGGUGGAUUAGUGGCGAACGGGUGAGUAACACGUGAGUAACCUGCCCCCGACUCUGGGAUAAGCCCGGGAAACUGGGUCUAAUACCGGAUAUUACCUCUUGCCGCAUGGCAGGUGGUGGAAAGAUUUAUCGGUGGGGGAUGGACUCGCGGCCUAUCAGCUUGUUGGUGAGGUAAUGGCUCACCAAGGCGACGACGGGUAGCCGGCCUGAGAGGGUGACCGGCCACACUGGGACUGAGACACGGCCCAGACUCCUACGGGAGGCAGCAGUGGGGAAUAUUGCACAAUGGGCGAAAGCCUGAUGCAGCGACGCCGCGUGAGGGAUGACGGCCUUCGGGUUGUAAACCUCUUUCAGUAGGGAAGAAGCGAAAGUGACGGUACCUGCAGAAGAAGCGCCGGCUAACUACGUGCCAGCAGCCGCGGUAAUACGUAGGGCGCAAGCGUUAUCCGGAUUUAUUGGGCGUAAAGAGCUCGUAGGCGGUUUGUCGCGUCUGCCGUGAAAGUCCGAGGCUCAACCUCGGAUCUGCGGUGGGUACGGGCAGACUAGAGUGAUGUAGGGGAGACUGGAAUUCCUGGUGUAGCGGUGAAAUGCGCAGAUAUCAGGAGGAACACCGAUGGCGAAGGCAGGUCUCUGGGCAUUUACUGACGCUGAGGAGCGAAAGCAUGGGGAGCGAACAGGAUUAGAUACCCUGGUAGUCCAUGCCGUAAACGUUGGGCACUAGGUGUGGGGGACAUUCCACGUUUUCCGCGCCGUAGCUAACGCAUUAAGUGCCCCGCCUGGGGAGUACGGCCGCAAGGCUAAAACUCAAAGGAAUUGACGGGGGCCCGCACAAGCGGCGGAGCAUGCGGAUUAAUUCGAUGCAACGCGAAGAACCUUACCAAGGCUUGACAUGUGCCAGACCGCUUCAGAGAUGGAGUUUCCCUUCGGGGCUGGUUCACAGGUGGUGCAUGGUUGUCGUCAGCUCGUGUCGUGAGAUGUUGGGUUAAGUCCCGCAACGAGCGCAACCCUCGUUCCAUGUUGCCAGCACGUAGUGGUGGGGACUCAUGGGAGACUGCCGGGGUCAACUCGGAGGAAGGUGGGGAUGACGUCAAAUCAUCAUGCCCCUUAUGUCUUGGGCUUCACGCAUGCUACAAUGGCCGGUACAAUGGGUUGCGAUACUGUGAGGUGGAGCUAAUCCCUAAAAGCCGGUCUCA
rnacentral:rRNA from 1 species